rnacentral:rRNA from 1 species
CAUGUCUAAGUAUAAGCACUUUGUACUGUGAAACUGCGAAUGGCUCAUUAAAUCAGUUAUCGUUUAUUUGAUAGUACCCUACUACAUGGAUACCUGUGGUAAUUCUAGAGCUAAUACAUGCGCAAAACCCCGACUUCGGAAGGGGUGUAUUUAUUAGAUAAAAAACCAAUGCCCUUCGGGGCUCCUUGGUGAUUCAUAAUAACUUAACGAAUCGCAUGGCCUUGCGCCGGCGAUGGUUCAUUCAAAUUUCUGCCCUAUCAACUUUCGAUGGUAGGAUAGUGGCCUACCAUGGUGGCAACGGGUAACGGGGAAUUAGGGUUCGAUUCCGGAGAGGGAGCCUGAGAAACGGCUACCACAUCCAAGGAAGGCAGCAGGCGCGCAAAUUACCCAAUCCCGAUCCGGGGAGGUAGUGACAAUAAAUACUGAUAUAGGGCUCUUUUGGGUCUUAUAAUUGGAAUGAGUACAAUCUAAAUCUCUUAACGAGGAACAAUUGGAGGGCAAGUCUGGUGCCAGCAGCCGCGGUAAUUCCAGCUCCAAUAGCGUAUAUUAAAGUUGUUGCAGUUAAAAAGCUCGUAGUUGAACCUUGGGCCCGUCCUGCCGGUCCGCCUCACCGCGAGUACUGGUCCGGAUGGGCCUUUCUUUCUGGGGAAUCCCAUGGCCUUCACUGGCUGUGGCGGGGAACCAGGACUUUUACUGUGAAAAAAUUAGAGUGUUCAAAGCAGGCCUUUGCUCGGAUACAUUAGCAUGGAAUAAUAAAAUAGGACGUGUGGUUCUAUUUUGUUGGUUUCUAGGACCGCCGUAAUGAUUAAUAGGGAUAGUCGGGGGCGUCAGUAUUCAGCUGUCAGAGGUGAAAUUCUUGGAUUUGCUGAAGACUAACUACUGCGAAAGCAUUCGCCAAGGAUGUUUUCAUUAAUCAGGGAACGAAAGUUAGGGGGAUCGAAAACGAUCAGAUACCGUUGUAGUCUUAANCCAUAAACUAUGCCGACUAGGGAUCGGNNCGGUGUUUC